rnacentral:lncRNA from 1 species
AUCGUCCUGUCACGGAAAAAUGCUUUGUCCCUACCAUUGUGUCCCUGAUUGAUCCAUUUUGGAGGGGCUCCAGCCACCCCAGUCCCUGGUGCAGUUUGGCGCCCUUCAGUUCAAGAGGAUUUUCUUUCCCUAAGGAGAUUCUGCACUGAGUUCUCAGAGUUGGCUGACCAGAAUCUGUUCCCAUUUCCGGCAACAUUCUCCAGCGUUCUGUCUAGUGCUCCACAAACCCGUCCCAGGAAGGCUGCUGCCGGAAGUGAGGGUGUGCACUCGGCUGCAGUGGUGCUGGUCGGCUGACUCCAACCCCAGGUCAUGGCCUAUGGAGCCCCGCACUCGGAGGCCAAGGAGACCUCCUCCCCUCUCUGCACCUUGGUCUCAGCUUGAAGCAGUGCAGCUACCAGGGGCCAUGUUCUCGGGGCGGAUGGCAGGAGUGGAGGAGGCCAGGCCAAACACAGCAAGCCUUUGGAAACCUCUCACCGGACCACUUUUACUCAUUCAGCCACAUGCCACUUAACAGACGGGCCAUGCACCGAGCCCCGUGUUGUUAGCAGUUCUGUCGGAGAAUGUCACAGUGUGUUCGCACCAACCCAGAUGGUAUGGGCCAGUCAUGUGUCAUGGCCUCUGGAUGCAGUCAAGGGAGGUGGUGAACACGAGAUGGAUGAGGCUGCCGUUGGCCUAACAUGACACAGUUUGACAGUGGACUUUUCAAAAAAAAAAAAAAAAUCAAUAUAAGGAAUCCACUAAAAUAAUGGUCACUGGUCAGCACUGGUCGUGAUGGUGCACACUCAUAAUCCCAGCACUCUGGGAGGCUGAGGCAGGAGAACCACAAGUUCGAACCCAGCGGGGGCAGUUUAGUGACUUUGCAAGACCUUAUCUCAAAAAGAAAAAGAAGAAAAGGCGGCGGCUGUAGCUCAGUGUGAAAGCCCUGGGUUCAGUACAAGAAAAAAAAAGCUGGAAGGCUGGGGGUGUAGCUUAGUGCAAGAGUGUGUGCUUAGCAUGCGUGAGGCCCUGGGUCCCUCCCCCAAAAGAUAAGCCAUGUAGCAUAAUAAAUGCAUAAACCAGUAAUGCGGUUAUUAUCAUUGUUCUAUACUACACAUAACAGUGUGUUACACUUUUUUCCUGUUUUAAUUAGUACAUAUUAAUUAUACAGAUUAAUGAGUUUCGUUAGGGUGGUUUUGUACAUGCACAUAAUAUACUCAGGCUGCUUUUACUGCCCCCCCCGUAUCCCCCCUUGCCCUUGUCUCCCCCCCAUUUAAUACUCCAGUGUGAUUGGCAGUGCCAUAAGUUUGUCUACACCAGAAUUAUCAUGAACAGAUGUGGAGUGUAUUGAGUUGUGACAUUACAACCAUGUCACUAGGCGAUGGAGCUUUUCAGCUCUCAUUCAUUCCCUCUCUCCUUAACUACUGGGGUUGAACCCAGGGCCUUCGCACUGAGCAGCAACCCCAGCCCUUCUUCCUUCCUUCCUUCCUUCCUUCCUUCCUUCCUUCCUUCCUUCCUUUCUUUCUUUCUUUAUUUUCUUUCUUGUUUUUUUGUUUUUUGAGACAGGGUCUCACUAUGCAGUUCAGGCUGGCCUUGAACUCACUUUGUAGCCCAGGCUGGCCUUGAACUCACAAUGAUCCUCUUGUCUCAGCCUCCCAAGUGCCAGGAUUACAGGCAUGUGCCACCACCCCCGGCUUUCUCUUUUUCUUCCUCCCUUUCUGUCUUCCUUUCCUUUCCUUUCCUUUCCUUUCCUUUCCUUUCCUUUCCUUUCCUUUUUCCUUUCCUUUCCUUUCCUUUCCUUUCCUUUCCUUUCCUUUC